UUUUCAAAAGUUACGAGUCAUUCUUUUUUGCACAAAAUGGCCUAACAAUCCCCCCUAGUGGUCCGUUUCCUGUUCCUGUGAUUUAUGAACACUCUCCUUUUCAAAACUGCCCACUUGGUGUGUUUAUAGGCUCAUAGCAAAGAAACUGGAAGAAAAAAACAAACAAACAAAGUCAGACUAUUUAGAGUUGAGAUGAGCUUUCCCUGAAGUCCUCCUUUCCUAUGCUCAGACAGAGCCUCAUUUCUCAAAAACUGAUGGGACUAAAUCCUACCAUAAAGCCAGCUUUCUUUUUCAAGGAUUUUCUCAAAACUGACAAAUAACCUGAGAGCUGUGGUGUUUACAAUUCCCCUCGCUGAAAUCAAGGAAUAGACCAGGGGUGUGAUGCACUCAAAAUACUGGAUUUGGGUUUCUGAAGGGAAGAGGAGUAAAUCAUGGAAAUGGCCUGCACCUUUCUUUCAAGAAGGUUUGGCCCAAACUGGAUUAUUUCAAUCCUUUAGGACAGAAUUACUUUUAUAUGAUGAAAGAACCCUGUCUCUCAAGUGUAACCACUCAGAAAGUGUCUGGUCACCGUUGCCAUCCAGUGUUCAAUCCUUUUCUUGACUCUGCACAAAGAGUCCUCCUUCCUUCAGUGUUUGAAGGUGAGAUGACACCCUCCGCGGCUUCCUUCUAGGUUCUGCCUACACAGGAAGCCUGCUUUCCCCGAGUUGAGGCCAGCCGAACAUUUCAAGCCUUAAACACUGAGAAAAGGAGACACCCUACUCCCCUGAGUGCCGGUUCCCUUCCCUCAGCUGUGUUCC
rnacentral:lncRNA from 1 species